ACUCCUACGGGAGGCAGCAGUGGGGAAUAUUGCACAAUGGGGAAACCCUGAUGCAGCCAUGCCGCGUGUGUGAAGAAGGCCUUCGGUUGUAAAGCACUUUCAGUAGGGAGGAAGGUAGUGUAGUUAACACCUGCAUUAUUUGACGUUACCUACAGAAGAAGCACCGGCUAACUCCGUGCCAGCAGCCGCGGUAAUACGGAGGGUGCGAGCGUUAAUCGGAAUUACUGGGCGUAAAGCGCAUGCAGGCGGCCUGUUAAGUCAGAUGUGAAAGCCCGGGGCUUAACCUCGGAAUUGCAUUUGAAACUGGCAGGCUAGAGUCUUGUAGAGGGGGUAGGAAUUUCAGGUGUAGCGGUGAAAUGCGUAGAGAUCUGAAGGAAUACCAGUGGCGAAGGCGGCCCCUGGACAAAGACUGACGCUCAGAUGCG
rnacentral:rRNA from 1 species